rfam:Xanthomonadales bacterium RIFOXYA1_FTLL_69_10 rifoxya1_full_scaffold_59073, whole genome shotgun sequence.
AUCCCCCAGACAUGCCCGCCGGCGUUGCCGGUGACAUGCCCAGGUAGCCAUCGAUCUUCAAGGCUGCGGCGCGGCUUGUCCGCGUUGAUCGAAACCCG